CAAUAUGGUGGUCUCACUCUGGG
rnacentral:siRNA from 1 species